CUGCUUCCUUUGGCAGCACAUACACUACAAUCGGAAAGAUGCAGAGAUUAGCCCCUGCAUGAGGAUGGGAUGCACAUUUGUGUAUUGUUCCAUAUUUUU
ensembl:snRNA U6 U6 spliceosomal RNA